rnacentral:rRNA from 1 species
UACAGAGGGGGCAAGCGUUGUUCGGAAUUACUGGGCGUAAAGGGCGCGUAGGCGGCCUGCUAAGUCGAACGUGAAAUCCCCGGGCUCAACCCGGGAACUGCGUCCGAUACUGGCAGGCUUGAAUCCGGGAGAGGGAUGCGGAAUUCCAGGUGUAGCGGUGAAAUGCGCAGAUAUCGGGAGGAACACCUAUGGCGAAGGCAGCUCGCUGGGACGUUACUGACGCUGAGACGCGAAAGCGUGGGGAGCAAACAGG